GAAAAUUGAAUGUCGAUUUUCUGGUCUGUUUUUUGGCGAAAUAUGCCGACAGAAUGCGAUUUCGGUUUGGAAUUCUUCCGACGGUGCCUCACUGUAAAUCAUGUUGUCGCUGAGCCUGGUUGGCUGGUCACCCAUGUCGUUUCGAGGGUUCGGAAACGACGGGUGAGCGACGGUGGAUUCCGGUGUUGAAAUUGACACUUUCGAAAACCAGGAUCAGAAUGAUUAUCCGACGACGAUCGUUUCAAUGUGAGGAGAUGUGUUUACUGCCAGGUCACACAAAUUAUUGUGUUUAGUAGUAGCGGGUGACUAGUGGCACGAGUCGGUGAGUUUCGAGAUAGUUCGUGGGUCCUAACGGAGUCCCGGUGUGAUUGUCGGGAUUUCCGGCGAGUUACGGUAAUCGGUUUUGGAAAACCGAAUCUCGUGGGUUUUACAGGUUGGGAUCGUAGGUUAGUUGUUCUGAUUCGUGGGUUGGAUUCU
rnacentral:lncRNA from 1 species